rnacentral:rRNA from 1 species
AACGAACGCUGGCGGCAGGCUUAACACAUGCAAGUCGAACGCGUGUAGCAAUACACGAGUGGCGCACGGGUGAGUAACGCGUGGAUAUCUGCCUUUUGGUUCGGAAUAACUCCGGGAAACUGGAGCUAAUACCGGAUGGUUCCUUCGGGAUAAAGAUUUAUCGCCAAAAGAUGAGUCCGCGUACGAUUAGCUAGUUGGUGAGGUAAUGGCUCACCAAGGCGACGAUCGUUAGCUGGUCUGAGAGGACGAUCAGCCACACUGGGACUGAGACACGGCCCAGACUCCUACGGGAGGCAGCAGUGGGGAAUAUUGGACAAUGGGGGCAACCCUGAUCCAGCCAUGCCGCGUGAGUGAUGAAGGCCUUCGGGUUGUAAAGCUCUUUUGGCGGGGACGAUGAUGACGGUACCCGCAGAAUAAGCCCCGGCUAACUUCGUGCCAGCCGCCGCGGUAAGAC